CCAAUAGCGUAUAUUAAAGUUGCUGCAGUUAAAAAGCUCGUAGUUGAAUUUCGGGACCAUCAUGUCGGUCGUGCCUCGGUACGUACUGGUAUUGUUGGUUUCUCCCUUCUGACGAACCAUGAUGUCAUUUAUUUGGUGUUGUGGGGAAUCAGGACUGUUACUUUGAAAAAAUUAGAGUGUUUAAAGCAGGCUCACGCUUGAAUACAUUAGCAUGGAAUAAUGAAAUAGGACGUUUGAUUCUAUUUUGUUGGUUUCUAGGAUCGACGUAAUGAUUAAUAGUGAUAGUUGGGGGCAUUAGUAUUCAAUUGUCAGAGGUGAAAUUCUUGGAUUUAUUGAAGACUAACUACUGCGAAAGCAUUUGCCAAGGAUGUUUUCAUUAAUCAAGAACGAAAGUUAGGGGAUCGAAGACGAUCAGAUACCGUCGUAGUCUUAACCAUAAACUAUGCCGACUAGGGAUCGGAUGAUGUUAAUUUUUUAAUGACUCAUUCGGCGCCUUACG
rnacentral:rRNA from 1 species